AGGACGAACGCUGGCGGCGUGCUUAACACAUGCAAGUCGAACGGUGAAGCCUUUCGGGGUGGAUCAGUGGCGAACGGGUGAGUAACACGUGAGUAAUCUGCCCUUGACUCUGGGAUAACUUCGGGAAACCGUGGCUAAUACCGGAUAUGACGCAUGGUCGCAUGGUCUGUGUGUGGAAGGAUUUAUUGGUCAGGGAUGAGCUCGCGGCCUAUCAGCUUGUUGGUGGGGUAAUGGCCUACCAAGGCGACGACGGGUA
rnacentral:rRNA from 1 species